rnacentral:rRNA from 1 species
GUGAGGAAUAUUGGUCAAUGGGUGCAAGCCUGAACCAGCCAUCCCGCGUGAAGGACGACUGCCCUAUGGGUUGUAAACUUCUUUUGUAUAGGGAUAAACCUACCCUCGUGAGGGUAGCUGAAGGUACUAUACGAAUAAGCACCGGCUAACUCCGUGCCAGCAGCCGCGGUAAUACGGAGGGUGCAAGCGUUAUCCGGAUUUAUUGGGUUUAAAGGGUCCGUAGGCGGACUUAUAAGUCAGUGGUGAAAGCCUGUCGCUUAACGAUAGAACUGCCAUUGAUACUGUAAGUCUUGAGUAUAUUUGAGGUAGCUGGAAUAAGUAGUGUAGCGGUGAAAUGCAUAGAUAUUACUUAGAACACCAAUUGCGAAGGCAGGUUACCAAGAUAUAACUGACGCUGAGGGACGAAAGCGUGGGGAGCGAACA